rnacentral:rRNA from 1 species
AACAGGAUUAGAUACCCUGGUAGUCCACGCCGUAAACGAUGAGUGCUAGGUGUUGGGGGUUUCCGCCCUCUGUGCCGAAGGUAACCCAAUAAGCACUCCGCCUGGGGAGUACGGCCGCAAGGCUGAAACUCAAAGGAAUUGACGGGGGCCCGCACAAGCGGUGGAGCAUGUGGUUUAAUUCGAAGCAACGCGAAGAACCUUACCAGGUCUUGACGUCCCGCUGAUCGGUGUAGAGAUAUGCCUUUCCUUCGGGACAGCGGUGACAGGUGGUGCAUGGUUGUCGUCAGCUCGUGUCGUGAGAUGUUGGGUUCAGUCCCGCAACGAGCGCAACCCUUGUCGUCAGUUGCCAGCACGUAAAGGUGGGCACUCUGGCGAGACGGCCGGUGAAAGCCGGAGGAAGGUGGGGAUGACGUCAAAUCAUCAUGCCCCUUAUGUCCUGGGCUACACACGUGCUACAAUGGCCGGUACAACGGGUAGCGAACCCGCGAGGGGGAGCCAAUCCGAAAAACCGGUCUCAGUUCGGAUCGCAGGCUGCAACUCGCCUGCGUGAAGCUGGAAUCGCUAGUAAUCGCGGAUCAGCAUGCCGCGGUGAAUCCGUUCCCGGGCCUUGUACACACCGCCCGUCACACCACGAGAGUCUGCAACACCCGAAGUCGGUGAGGUAACCUUCGGGAACCAGCCGCCGAAGGUGGGGCAGAUGAUUGGGGUGAAGUCGUAACAAGGUAACC